GUAGCCCUUUUAUUGACCUCGAGCAUAAAGGCACGAUAUUGACCUCUUAAUUGGCCUCAAAAACCCAGUUUCUCCACCAAUCAACUCGACACAAUCUUUCAAACACCUAUCCACUGUUCUUCGACAACACCCAGCUGUCACCUUCUUCAACACUAAAUAUCCUCGGUCUAUCCUUAGCUCAAAAACUCAGCUGGAAACUUCAUAUUUCCUCUCUCGCUAAAUCAGCUUCCUCGAGGUUGAGCGUUCUGUAUCGUCUCCGCCAGUUCUUCUCCCCCGCACAGUUGCUAUCCAUAUGUAGGGGCCUUGUCCGCCCUCGUAUGGAGUAUGCAUCGCACUUGUGGGGAGGCUCCACUCACACAGCUCUUCUGGACAGAGUGGAGUCUAAGGCUCUUCGUCUCAUCAGCUCUCCUCCUCUUACUGAAAGCCUUCUACCUCUUAAAUUCCGCCGCUAUGUUGCUUCUCUUUCUAUCUCCUAUCGAUAUUUUCAUGCUGACUGCUCUUCUGAACUUGCUAAUUGCAUGCCUCCCCCCCUCCCGCGGCCCCGCUGCACACGACUUUCUACUCAUGCUCAUCCCUAUAUUGUCCAAACCCCUUAUGCAAAAGUUAACCAGCAUCUCCAUUCUUUCAUCCCCUUCACUGGUAAACUCUGGAGCAGUCUUCCUUCGUCUGUAUUUCCUCCUGCCUAUGACUUGAUCUCUUUCAAGAAGAGUGUACCAAGACACCUCUUUACCCGAAACUGACCUCUCUUUUGGCUACUCUUUACUUCUUACUUCUGUGGGAGCGGCUAAUAGUGGGCAAUUUUUUUGUACACUUUUUGUUGCCCUUGAGCCGCAUCCUUUGAUGUAAAAAAAAUCACACUUAAAGGCCUUUGUUUAUGCCCUUGAGCUGUGUCCAUAGAUAUAAAAAAAAGGGUACUCUGAAGGGAUAAAUAAUAGACGAGGGGACGACGUAGCCCUUUUAUUAACCUUUAUAAUGAUCGUCAGGACCCUCGAAAGGACCAGCAAUCUCGUGACGUCACACCGGAGCCACGCCCACCACGCCCCGCCCCCCGUCAGUCCACCCUCGGCAGCGGUGCGGGGCGGAGGUGAGGGAGGGGUGGAAGCCGUCGGGAUGAACAUAACUGACCGUCUCACUUUACCUCACACACACACUGGCGAUGCUGGAUGGCGAAAUAAAGACAAAAUAGGAUGAAUUCACUAAACAUAUCCACUGCUUGCAUGCCUGGUACGAUAAUUCUUGAGGUACGGUAUUCUUGAAGUACGAUAGCCUUCCGGUAGGCACGAUAGUCGCCCCGAGCAGCCGUCAGGAGGGUGGUGGGGGGCUAGUUGGUGUCCGUUUGUCGAGGGGGUCAUACACGUUCUCCGUCAGAGUCCCAAGGGCAGCGUGGGAUCCCGGGAAGACGUGACGACUCUCUAGGACUCCCGCAAGGUAAGGAUGAAGGAUGUGAAGGGAUCGAAAAAGGAGCGAGAAACGGGGAAGGAAAUAAAUAAAACCAGAAUAUAAUGCUUUGAUAGUGGUAGGGAAGAAGAGGAAGGAAACAGUUUAGUGAUGGAAAAAGAGGAAGAAAAACUUAACUAACUAUUACGUAAUCUAUCGUGGUCGUCUCGAAAUGCUGCGUUCACUGAGUCGGUGUUCAUAAUGCUUCGAACGGUGUGUUUGAAAGAUUCGACCUGGACUCAGAUCUACUUCAACAAAAACUACUUAAUUAAUGAAUGAAAACUCCAACCCCCAAUAAGUGAAGCAGUGAAUCGUUCCAAGAAAAACAACGAAUUAGUUAAAAAAAAACACAAAUCAAAACAAAACAUCGACUUCUACUCUACCGCCCAAAAGUGCUUCGGUCAGAGCUUCGGGUUCGGGUUUGUGUGAAGCGUCUCGUCAGCGGUGUGUCGAUCCUGGGAGGCGUCGAGGGCAAGAUAGUGUUUUCCCAGCCACAGUGUCGACAGGAAUGACCCGAAAUCCUAGCAAAACCUUCCUGAACAUGACCAUUAUUGACCCGAUGACCUUGUGGGUGACUCGUUAAUUGAUUUUGUUGUUGUUAAUUUAAGUUUGACCAACCACUAUAGGAACCAAGGUCACGCAGGAAGGUCACAGGAUCCGGAUCACAGCCUAGACACCCCAGCCCUCGACUCUCCUUCUCUCAACCCUCAGCCCCCCACUCCUUCACCCCCCCCCCCAUCCCUUCUUGUUUGUGUGUGCGUCUGUGCGUGUGUUUGUUUUUAUGUGUGAUAGUCUGUGUGUGUUUUUCCUGUUGUGUUUUUAUUAGUUCACUCACGCCACUUUUCGUAAUCUAACUUAUUCAUAGCAUUCGUACUUGAUGUUCAUUUGUCCUCUUCCUCCUUGCCUUCCUUUCCAGAGUCAAGCGUCAACAACCACCUCUUCCAGAACUCGUAUGUCUGUUACCGCGAUCUCGUUUUAAUUCUCGUUUAUUCCCAUUUAUUCACUCACUGUUAUCCUAUUUCUCCCUUUUCAAAUCAUUAAGCAAAGUCUUAACGUUAUCUUUCACAGCAUUUUUUUUCCUUUGAGUCAAUUUCAGUACUGAGUUAGGACGACUAGGAAGAAAAAGUCAAGGAGGUGGGAAGAGGAAGGAGGAGGAAGAGUGGACGGAGAGGUUAUAUGCUGCCAGGAGGGUAUUGUUAUAACACUCUUCUGAAAUUAUAAUGCUGCUGCCGCUUCUGCUUCUACUGCUGUUGAUAUGCUGCCGUUAUGCUGCUCGGUUUGAUAAUGUUAAGGAAAGGGUUUGGUGGUGGUGGUGGUUGUCGUGGUUUUGUUGUUGUUAGUGUUGUUGUUGUGUUAGGGUUUACGGGAGAGAGAGUGAGACGGUGUUACAGUAAUUACGCUGUUAAAACGACGUACUUUCACACACACACACACACACACACACACACACACACAC